rnacentral:rRNA from 1 species
UCCCAGACUCCUACGGGAGGCAGCAGUGGGGAAUAUUGCACAAUGGGGGGAACCCUGAUGCAGCGACGCCGCGUGGGUGAAGGAGUACUUCGGUACGUAAAGCCCUAUCAGCAGGAAAGAAAAUGACGGUACCUGACUAAGAAGCCCCGGCUAACUACGUGCCAGCAGCCGCGGUAAUACGUAGGGGGCAAGCGUUAUCCGGAUUUACUGGGUGUAAAGGGAGCGUAGACGGCCAAGCAAGCCAGGGGUGAAAGCCCGGGGCCCAACCCCGGGACUGCCCUUGGAACUGCAUGGCUGGAGUGCGGGAGGGGCAGGCGGAAUUCCUGGUGUAGCGGUGAAAUGCGUAGAUAUCAGGAGGAACACCGGCGGCGAAGGCGGCCUGCUGGACCGCGACUGACGUUGAGGCUCGAAAGCGUGGGGAGCGAACAGGAUUAGAUACCCUAGUA